UACGGAGGGUGCAAGCGUUAUCCGGAUUUACUGGGUUUAAAGGGUGCGUAGGUGGGUCUGUAAGUCAGUGGUGAAAUCUUCAAGCUUAACUUGGAAACUGCCAUUGAUACUAUAGGUCUUGAAUUAUCUGGAGGUGAGCGGAAUAUGUCAUGUAGCGGUGAAAUGCUUAGAUAUGACAUAGAACACCAAAUUGCGAAGGCAGCUCACUACGGAUGUAUUGACACUGAGGCACGAAAGCGUGGGGAUCAAACAGG
rnacentral:rRNA from 1 species